GCAAGAACCAACCUUGACUUCUGAGUAUGAGUUCUGGAAAAAAGGACCCAAUACUGCUCCACAUUUGUUACAAUCAUAUUUCACUUGUUGCAAUUGGGGAAAAACACCAGAUCGCCGGGUGACAACUCCACCAAUACGAAUCAUGGUGUUCAAAUGGAUCUGCCUUAUAUUACGAAUCUGAUCAUAAACUGGUAAGUUGGUAAUCCUGACAUAGACUUUCUGAUGAAUUUGCUUAUAGUUGGGAUGAAGAUCAAAGACAACUUUGUUGGCAACUUCUUCCAUCACUUCAAGAACGGAUUGUGGUGCAUCUGCCAGCCAGAUGGCAAUAUUGGGAUGGACAUAUAUGAAUUGCUUGUAAUCAAUCUCAAGGCUGCAUUUAUUAACUGAUACCAUCUCAUUAAUCUGUCGAAGAUAUUCAAAGUCCCCAUGUUCAUUUUUGGGAUUUACAUAUGUGAGUAAGAAUUCCUUGAAUUUCUUCGCAAUGAAGCGCCGGACUUCAUCUCUAGUUACCCAUUCCCUAAGUGUUCCCUGAACCCUGUACAUCUCAAACUCCCCUUCAUCAUUUUCAUCAUCCUCAUAGGGAUCAUCAUCAGUUUGAUCAGUCAUUGGUACAUCCUGGCUGGAGUUUACUCGUUGUGAUGCCCCUGGUGAACUUGGCAUUGCAUCAGUAUCAUCAAAAUUCCUUCUGAAAUCAGCUCUAGUCCUUUUUGAUGGCCUAUAGUUAUCAUCAUCAGUAUCUUGAUCAUGAAGAAGUUGAGGAAGCUUACGGUUAGAGACAUGUACAUCUCUAUUGUCAAGUUCCACUUCAGCAGCCUGACGAUCUGCCAUGAUUUGAUCCAGAUCUCUUUCAUCCACCAUGGAAUCAUCCAAUCCGAGGGACUCGUACUGGUCAGCCUCACCCAUCCUCUGAUAGUCAUCGAGAUAAUUGUCGUUGAAAAGGUCUUCUCCAUCUUCCUCUUCAAUGUCAGCAUCUUCUUGAUCGUCUCUGAUGAUAUCAGGAUCGACAGAGGCUUCAUCCUCUUCAGAGUAGUUUUGGCUAGUGUUGAAAGGGAGCUGAUCGGUGUUGAAUCCUACUGACGUCGGAGAAUCAGGAGUAGACGGUGGAUUGCCAUUUCUAUGAUCGGCAGACGACGGAGACUCCGCCGGACGAUGGCUACCACUAUCGCCGUUGGAAUCUUCUCCGGCCAUUUUCUCUCUGUUUCUCUCUCUACUCGGGCGUUGUGCUUUGUAGGGUUUUG
rnacentral:misc_RNA from 1 species